GUUCAGGCAGCCGCCAGGGCAACUGAAGUUUGGGAAUGCGCAGGUAGGGAAGGAAGCUGAAAUUCAAACUUUUUUGAUGUUGCUCUUCAGCUCCAGGGUAUCCCUGCACCCCAACCCUGCAGCCCUGGGGCCCUGGCAGCUGCACGGACUGGAGAAGCAAGCUGGGAAAAGAGAGCAACAUGACCCGACGUGUUUAAAAGAAGGCAAAACACUUCAGCAAUUAAAAGUAGCCUAACAGCUUCUCUCUUUCAAAUUGGGGAGAGGGGGCGAAAAACUUUGAACGUCCACAGGCUUCUGUUACAUACGCUUAAACGGCACUCCUGGAAUAUUCCGGAUUUAAAACUUGCUUUUUUCCACACCAGCUGGCAAACUACACGGCUUGAGGGCCUCAUUAAAUCCUUCCUCGCCGAGACUCUUGAGCUCAGACCGGCAUUUUGUAGUCGUGUCCCCCCAUCCCCUCCAUAUCGGAGUCGCGGUCCCUCGGAAAACAGAUUCCCAGCCUCUCCAGAACAGAAGAGGAAAUCUACCAGCAAAACGUCAUCCCGAGAUUCACUUCCCCAAGGGACCCCCACCUCUCGACCCACAGUCCGGCAAUGGGGCUGGAGAGACUCGAACCCCUCCCGGCAGCGGCGACACCCAGAGCGCACACAGGGAAACCGAGCAGACUCGCGACACCCGGCUCAAGAGCAGCACAUUAUGGACGAAAGAAUCACCGAAAAAUUGCCCCAAUCCUGCCUGGUCAAUGCCCCGCGCCCCCCAGGCAGCCCCACGCAAACUUCGCCCCCCAAAACUCUGGUCUCCAGAUUCCCAUGUAAUCCCCGCCAGGAACUGUUGAAACUCAAAGGGUGGGGAGCAGAGAGUCAAAUUCCUUCAAACUGAGGGGGGAAAAUGGGGCGGAAUAAACAACCAUCUCGCCUCUC